AUUGAACGCUGGCGGCAUGCCUUACACAUGCAAGUCGAACGGUAACGGGCCUUCGGGUGCCGACGAGUAGCGAACGGGUGAGUAAUACAUCGGAACGUGCCCGAUCGUGGGGGAUAACGAGGCGAAAGCUUUGCUAAUACCGCAUACGAUCUACGGAUGAAAGCAGGGGACCGCAAGGCCUUGCGCGGACGGAGCGGCCGAUGGCAGAUUAGGUAGUUGGUGGGAUAAAAGGUUACCAAGCCGACGAUCUGUAGCUGGGCUGAGAGGAUGAUCAGCCACACUGGGACUGAGACACGGCCCAGACUCCUACGGGAGGCAGCAGUGGGGAAUUUUGGACAAUGGGCGCAAGCCUGAUCCAGCCAUGCCGCGUGCAGGAUGAAGGCCUUCGGGUUGUAAACUGCUUUUGUACGGAACGAAAAGCCUUCUUUUAAUACAGGAGGGUCAUGACGGUACCGUAAGAAUAAGCACCGGCUAACUACGUG
rnacentral:rRNA from 1 species